rnacentral:rRNA from 1 species
UACGUAGGGUGCGAGCGUUGUCCGGAAUUACUGGGCGUAAAGAGCUCGUAGGUGGUUUGUCGCGUUGUUCGUGAAAACUCACAGCUUAACUGUGGGCGUGCGGGCGAUACGGGCAGACUGGAGUACUGCAGGGGAGACUGGAAUUCCUGGUGUAGCGGUGAAAUGCGCAGAUAUUAGGAGGAACACCGGUGGCGAAGGCGGGUCUCUGGGCCGAUACUGACGCUGAGGAGCGAAAGCGUGGGGAGCGAACAGG